rnacentral:rRNA from 1 species
UCUAUUACAGAUCCUAAUUGAAGUAGCGAUUAUCCAGGUUAAUCUCCUGGGGGCUGAUGAGGAGUAGGGUUUCUGGGCAACUUAAACGGACCCAGAGUUAGUCGAUCCUAAUCAAAUUAAAUUUAGAGAAAGGGAAUAUGAAUGAUAUUUCAUAACUAAAAUUAAUUUUUAAAUGGUGACAUUUUUUUAAACUUAUUUCCAUCAAUUAAAUACUGUUUAAUAGGGAUUUCUUUCCUAUAUAACUUUUUAAUUAAAACUUAAGAAACAGGUUAACUGGAGAAUAAAGUUUUAAUUUAGUAAAAUUAUAAUUUCGAUUAUAAUAACGGCUAUUUAAAUGAUCCAUGAAACAAUAAGUUUAUUUUUUCAAAAAUUAAUUUAAUCGUACCGAUAACCGCAUCAGGUCUCCAAGGUGAGUAGCUUCUGGCCAUUGAGUAAUGGUAAUUUAGGGAAUUCGGCCAAUUAGAGCUGUAACUUCGGGAUAAAGCUUGGCUCUGAUGGAAAUCAGAACCGAUAGUUACAAGGAGAGCCCAACUGUUUAAUAAAAACUUAGUGUCGCGUCAUACCUUUAUAAGUAAUAAACGUGACAUGAAUCCUGCUCAGUGCUGUGUUUGUUAAACUGGAUUAAUCCAUUUAAGCGCCGGUAAAUAGCUGGGGUAACUAUGACUCUUAUCAAAGUAGCGAAAUACCUCGUCACUUAAUUAGUGACCUGCAUGAACGGAGCUAUGAGGUUCUCACUGUCCCAAAUUAUCACUCAGCGAACCAACAGUUGUGGGAACGGGCACAAAUUAUCCAGCGGGGAAAGAAGACCCUGUAGAGCUUCACUUUGGUCUAAUCUUGUAUAGUUUCGUUAGGGGUGCAGUCUAGGUGGGAGAUUUUUAAUCAAAUAUGAGAAACCACUACCCUUUCUGGAAUUAUACUUACUAAAAUUCUUUUCUAAAUUUUAGGAUCGGAUUAGAUAGAAAGUUUGGCUGGGGCGGCACACCUUCGAAAAAGCAGCGAAGGUGUCCUAAGUUAAGCUCAGUAAGGACAGAAAUCUUACGUUGAGGAUAAGGCCAAAAGCUUAAUUUACUGUGCCUUUUUGUACUAGGAUCAGUUUGGAAACAAAGGCCUAACGAUCCCUAAUUAGUCUUAGGUGUGUAAGACUUGGGGUGACAGACAAGUUACCUCCGGGACAACUGGCUUGUGGCUGCUAAGAGAUCAAAUCAACGCAGCUUUUUGAUUCUUCGAUGUCGGCUCUUCCUAUCCUAGUGAUGUACAAGUCACUAAGGGUUGGAUUGUUCACCCGUAUUAGGGAUCGUGAGCUGGGUUUAGACCGUCGUGAGCCAGGUUUGUUUUAUCCUACUGGAUAUAAUUUAGCAUCUUGAUAGUAGUUUGAUUUAGUACGAGAGGAACUGUUGAAUAUGGUCUCUGGUUUGGGAAUUUUAUGAAAAUAAAAGUUCCAAAGCUACGCCGUCUGAGAUAAUGGCUGAAGGCCUCUUAAGCCAGAAACUCAUCUAAAAAUAGAUGCUUUAAACUAUUUAAAAGAAUUAAAUUUAAAAUAUUUUUUUUAUUAAAAUUUGUUAAUAAUUCUUUAGUUUAAAUGACCAAAUGUAGAAGACGUUUUGUCAACAAGGGUCCUGUAAGUGUGAGAGUGGCAUUU